rnacentral:rRNA from 1 species
UACAGAGGUCUCAACCGUUGUUCGGAUUCAUUGGGCGUAAAGGGUGCGUAGGCGGCCUGUUAAGUCAGGGGUGAAAGACGGUAGCUCAACUAUCGCAGUGCCCUUGAUACUGAUGGGCUUGAAUUGACUAGAGGUAGGCGGAAUGUGACAAGUAGCGGUGAAAUGCAUAGAUAUGUCACAGAACACCGAUUGCGAAGGCAGCUUACUAUGGUCUUAUUGACGCUGAGGCACGAAAGCGUGGGGAUCAAACAGG